GCUAGCGUAGCUCAAUCGGCAGAGCAGUUGAUUUGUAAUCAACAGGUUCGGGGUUCGAUUCCCCGCGCUAGCU
rnacentral:tRNA from 1 species